UACGGAGGGUGCGAGCGUUAUCCGGAAUUACUGGGCGUAAAGCGCAUGUAGGCGGCCAAGCAGGUCGGAUGUGAAAUCCCUCGGCUCAACCAAGGAAGUGCAUUCGAAACCGCAUGGCUGGAGUCCCGGAGAGGGUAGUGGAAUUCUCGGUGUAGAGGUGAAAUUCGUAGAUAUCGAGAGGAACACCGGCGGCGAAAGCGGCUACCUGGACGAGGACUGACGCUGAGAUGCGAAAGCGUGGGGAGCAAACAGG
rnacentral:rRNA from 1 species